rnacentral:misc_RNA from 1 species
GAUGAAGAACGUAGCGAAAUGCGAUAAGUAAUGCGAAUUGCAGAAUUUCCGUGAGUCAUCGAAUCUUUGAACGCACAUUGCGCCCGCCAGCACUCUGGCGGGCAUGCCUGUCCGAGCGUCAUUUCAACCCUCGAGCACCGCUCGGCGUUGGGGGAGCGGCCCGCGCGCCGCCCCCCGAAAUGCAGUGGCGACCUCGCCGCGUUCCUCCCCUGCGCAGUAGCUCUCAAGAGAACCUCGCAUCGGCGGCGCGGCGGCGGUCACGCCGUGAAACACCCCCCUCAAGAGUUGACCUCGGAUCAGGUAGGGAUACCCGCUGAACUUAAGCAUAUCAAUAAGCGGAGGA